GACGAACGCUGGCGGCGUGCUUAACACAUGCAAGUCGAACGGAAAGGCCCUGCUUUUGUGGGGUGCUCGAGUGGCGAACGGGUGAGUAACACGUGAGUAACCUGCCCUUGACUUUGGGAUAACUUCAGGAAACUGGGGCUAAUACCGGAUAGGAGCUCCUGCUGCAUGGUGGGGGUUGGAAAGUUUCGGCGGUUGGGGAUGGACUCGCGGCUUAUCAGCUUGUUGGUGGGGUAGUGGCUUACCAAGGCUUUGACGGGUAGCCGGCCUGAGAGGGUGACCGGCCACAUUGGGACUGAGAUACGGCCCAGACUCCUACGGGAGGCAGCAGUGGGGAAUAUUGCACGAUGGGCGGAAGCCUGAUGCAGCAACGCCGCGUGCGGGAUGACGGCCUUCGGGUUGUAAACCGCUUUCGCCUGUGACGAAGCGAGAGUGACGGUAAUGGGUAAAGAAGCACCGGCUAACUACGUG
rnacentral:rRNA from 1 species